rnacentral:rRNA from 1 species
GACGAACGCUGGCGGCGUGCUUAACACAUGCAAGUCGAACGGAAAGGCCCUGCUUUUGUGGGGUGCUCGAGUGGCGAACGGGUGAGUAACACGUGAGUAACCUGCCCUUGACUUUGGGAUAACUUCAGGAAACUGGGGCUAAUACCGGAUAGGAGCUCCUGCUGCAUGGUGGGGGUUGGAAAGUUUCGGCGGUUGGGGAUGGACUCGCGGCUUAUCAGCUUGUUGGUGGGGUAGUGGCUUACCAAGGCUUUGACGGGUAGCCGGCCUGAGAGGGUGACCGGACACAUUGGGACUGAGAUACGGCCCAGACUCAUACGGGAGGCAGCAGUGGGGAAUAUUGCACAAUGGGCGGAAGCCUGAUGCAGCAACGCCGCGUGCGGGAUGACGGCCUUCGGGUUGUAAACCGCUUUCGCCUGUGACGAAGCGUGAGUGACGGUAAUGGGUAAAGAAGCACCGGCUAACUACGUG